UACGAAGGGGGCUAGCGUUGUUCGGAAUUACUGGGCGUAAAGCGCGUGUAGGCGGGUCUUUUAAGUCAGGGGUGAAAUGCCAAGGCUCAACCUUGGAACUGCCUUUGAUACUGGAGACCUUGAGUCCGGGAGAGGUGAGUGGAAUUGCGAGUGUAGAGGUGAAAUUCGUAGAUAUUCGCAAGAACACCAGUGGCGAAGGCGGCUCACUGGCCCGGUACUGACGCUGAGGCACGAAAGCGUGGGGAGCAAACAGG
rnacentral:rRNA from 1 species